GGCCGGCUGGCGUAAUGGCUAACGCAUCCGUUUCCGGCUCCCUCCCCAGAUUUGUAUCUGGGGGUUUUCCUGUCUGCGGAAGAUUGCAGGUUCGAGUCCUGCGUCGGUCG
rnacentral:tRNA from 1 species